rnacentral:lncRNA from 1 species
UCGAGGGCCGAACCGAGAGGGUGCUGGCAGGGCUGGAUCCCACGGGUGUCCGCAGGAGACAAAGGCGAAUUCCGGAGAAAAGGCUGGGGCUGAGAAAGGCGCUCCGGGAGCGGCUGGCAGGGCAAUUCGGCAGGCUGCACCGAAGCCGAGUGCCCGGAGGGACUUGCCGCCCGGAAGGGGGUGUGUGGGGGCGCUGCCGUGAAGAUGGAUGAGGGAAAAGGUUUUUGAUAUCAGCAGAAGGGAAAACGCCUGGAGUGGCCGAACACUUUUAGUUGCCCAGCAGGAAUAGGAGACGGGUACUCAGCUCCCCAAGGCUGCGCAAUAUCCCAGCUUUGCCCGCUCCUGCCCUCGUGUUCGGAAUAUGCUGGCGGUGUGAAUGUGAAGGUUUCUCCAGGCAGGCGGCUGGGGCGAGGGGUGGGCGCAGCUCUGAGGAUCAGACCAAAUCUAGGGGAAAAAGGGGAGGCAGACCUUCGGGUCCUUGGUUUUGACUUUGCUCUGAGCCUAUGAUUGACUCUUCCGCUUUGCAGGAGGUCCAACAGCCGAGCUUAGCCCACCGGGCUCUGGGAAAGACCCGACUGAGGCUAAAGCCGCCCCGGAAGGCCAAGUCCGAGUUCCAUUUCUUGAAGAGGCCGGCGCGCGUAAGGCUGUGACAUUGGCCCUGGCGACUGGCUUCCCAGGAGCUGUUCUUUCUCAGGAGCUCCACAGCGCGGGCCAUCUCCAGAAAACUGUCUUCAGAGUGUAUUUCCUUUUAUCGUCAACCCAGAGCCCCACCGCGGCUAAUGCAAGAGGCCAAAAAAUGUUUGGAGGAAGAAAAACAAAGGCAGGAAGUGGCGGCGGCCUGACGGUGCGUGUGUGUCUGCAGAGAAGGGAGGGAGCCGGCUCAGUCUCUUCUUGUUUUUCCAAACUUCAAGGUCCAGGCAGCCCUCUGCAGGGCCGGGCCCCAUUGCUCCCCGCGCGGCAUUGGAGGUGGCCGCCCGGAGAGGAGAAGGCCAACGCCUGCGCCAGGCUUGUCAGGCGGAAACGGCUAACAAGGAGAUUUGGUCAGCAAAACAGACCCAGCCUUUCCGAGGCUUCGUCUGACUUGGCCCGAAAGGUUGGGGAGGGGGGGCUUGCGCAGAGCCUCAGGGACCCUCCUCUCUGGGGACUACCAUCCCUGAGCCUUACGCUUCUUUCCACAGCCUUUGCAGGCGGAAUAUCGGAAUAAAGUGGGUCCAGGCGCC